CCCAUCUCGCAGUCUCUCUGUGAGGACCAAGAGAGGAUUGGUGUGGAGGAGAUUAUUUGGGGGUGUUUUCAUUUCUCUGUGGAUUUUGUAGAAAGAAAUCGUCAUCUGUGUAGAAGGUGACAUACUUCUCUUUUUGGAGAACCCAGAGCAGCACACACACCACAUCCGAACCUGGAGAGGUUUCGGCAGCAUGGUCUCAACACAGAAUUGGAGAAGCAUACCUCCAGCCAACUCUCCACGGAGUUUUUGGGGUACAUCCUCUCCCCAGAAGGUGCUACAAUUGAGACAAAUGUGGUGGAAGCCAUUCAUAAAUGGGACAAAGUUUGAAGUCCUCAAGAAGUGUAGCGCUUCCUAGACUUCACUCAUCCUGCGAAAUCGAGAUGUGCUGGCUCUCAGUGAUGCUUAGAUGGAAAACCACGCACCCCACACAGAGGUUGGAACCACUCAUUCCCAGGUUGUCCUGAGGAGCCAUGAUUUCUCCAGGAGCUGGGUAAAGGGCACCGGGAUCAGUCUGUCAAAGGUAGGGGAGGAUCGUGUGAGGAGAGGGUCUAAGAUAGGAGGAGCAUGGGCUAGGAUCUGUAUUUGGGCUUGGCAGGGAUCAAAAGAAGGGAGAGGACUGUUAGAGGGCAAUGCGAGGUGCGAGGGAGGUCGGAGAUGGGGGCAGCGCCUGAAAAGUUCAUCUGCUUUAGAUCAACUGUGCCAGAGAAUCACUGGUUGAAGUGACUGAAAGCUCUGACCUGGGGCUGGCCAAAAUUCUCCUCCUCAGAUGGGAAUAUCCCAAAAGUUUGCAGAAGCUCAGCCUCUGAGGUGAACGUUGUGGCCCUAACCUCUCUCUGCUCUGUACCUCACAGGAUUCCAGCCGGCUGUUCCAAUCCAGGAGGAAAACUGUGCCACCGAAGUCUCUCAGCACCUGAGGAGUGAAGUGCCACUUAAACCCACUGUGAUGCACAGACCUUGCCCUGGCUGUCUGCACAGGGCUGAAUUUCACCCCUUCAGAGUGUAUUCUAAGGGCCCACCGUGCAUCAUAUGGGCAUUCUUGGGGGUGCAGAUUGCAUCAGACCUGCACCUGAAUAAAUAUUAGGGAAUGAAAGUUCUUCAGCCAAAUUCUCAGAAACCUUCCUCUUCCAUGUAGGAUCAGGAUUUUGUUUUGAAUUGAUUUUUUUUUAACAAAGUGCUGAGCAGAUGCUACCCUGUAAGAAGAGGAAACAGAAGCAAAAACUGAAAGACUGUUACUAAAACCAAUGAACAGCUGCAGAGAGUGGAGACCCGGCAGAGCAAACAAAUGAAUACUGAAAAGGCUCCGCAAAGGAGGUGUAAGGAUCCGGGACUCUAGUGUCUGCCAGAAGCUUCAGCCACCUUCACAGGUUAGAGCUCGCCGUUCAUUGCGGAGGUGAAGACUGGAUGGGAGCUGCUGGAUUGACCUUGAUGUGCCAUGUCCUUGUGUAGAUGAAGGACCUACAUCUCAGGGAUGGCCAGCAGCAGAUGUAACACAUGUGUCCAGGAAUGGGCUAAAUAACCUACAUUGAGAGAUCUCAGCCGCUCAGCAGAAUGCGGGAGAGCCGAGUGCUGAUGGGCUAGAGGGGUCCCAGGAGUCGCUGUGCAGCAGGGGGAGGGUGUGCAGUCACUAUGGGCCACACCCUGUGCUCCAAACAACCCAGGCUGUUUCCCUGGAUUACAAAGGAGACUUUGGCUUGGGGAAUUGGUGCUGGUGCCUGUGUCCAGAGCUGGAAGGUUUUCCUGAGGCUACUCAAUGGUCCAUGAAGCGCCAUGCAAGCAAGGGGAGAAUGGACAUUAGAGAGCAAGGGUGGGACCUCUGUGGGGCUGCUGCAGUCAAACAUUCACAGCCAGAAGAGAGACGAUGGGAAACGCGCUUCGAUGGCUGGCCACAGCCGCAGCAGCUGUCUCAGAAAGCUCUGCUCAUGCUCUAGCCAACAGAGGCAGGACAAAGAGCCACACAGUGAGAGCCUGGGUUGCAAUUAGCAAGUCACAUUUUUUUCAGUGGAUUAUGCUGCCCUGACCGUCUAUUUCCUGCAAUGUGCACAUCCAGCCUCCCUGGCUGACCUCAAGAGGAGUUAGGUUCUCCGUGCCCACAGGACAGGGCU